CUACGGGAGGCUGCAGUGGGGAAUAUUGGACAAUGGGGGAAACCCUGAUCCAGCGAUGCCGCGUGAGUGAAGAAGGCCUUAGGGUUGUAAAACUCUUUCAGUAGGGAAGAUGAUGACGGUACCUACAGAAGAAGCACCGGCUAACUCCGUGCCAGCAGCCGCGGUAAUACGGAGGGUGCAAGCGUUGUUCGGAAUUACUGGGCGUAAAGCGUGCGUAGGCGGUCUGUUAAGUCAGGCGUGAAAGCCCCGAGCUCAACUUGGGAAUCGCGUUUGAUACUGGCAGGCUAGAGGACUGUAGAGGAGAGUGGAAUUCCUAGUGUAGAGGUGAAAUUCGUAGAUAUUAGGAGGAACACCAGUGGCGAAGGCGGCUCUCUGGGCAGUACCUGACGCUGAUGGACGAAAGCGUGGGGAGCAAACAGGAUUAGAUACCCCCGUAGUC
rnacentral:rRNA from 1 species